CUGCACUGGAACAACACAGAUGAGAUAUUCUACACAUUAAUCUACUUAUCUGGAAUCACUUUGCCUCUAAAGGCCAGAGAAAAAUCACAGCUUCCUUGUCGGAGGGGAAAAGGACAGGUGAUCUGGGGAAAACGCAGCUACACCUGGAGCAAGGUCUCUUCCCGGCUUGGCAAUCUCAGCUGUGCCGGCGCUACGGGACCCGAGCCGUCCCAGAAACCAAAGGGCAGGCACGGCAGCAAACGCCUGAGUGCUGCUGCCUUCGGUGACUAUAUGAGAAUGGAAACUUCUAAGGAAGCCAGGUUGUUAGAAUUGUUACCCCCUUUACUCAGAGAUAACAUAGAUUAUCCAGGCUGAGAUGGAAAACAAGCCCUUUAUUGAAUUUUCAACACAGACUCCCUGCUUCUCAUCUCCUUAAUAAAAUUUCAUUAAAAUCCCCUUGAACUCCCAUGUUCAAAUCUCCAUUUGUUGACAGACAAAGCCAACAAUACUCUAAACUGAGGCCUGCAAGUCAUUUCAUUUGUAUUUUUGUCCAGAAAUUUCCCAUAGGAAGACUUCACCUCCUACAACUCCGAAGAAAACCCUUACUGUCCAAGACCGUCACCAGCAACCAUCCGCAGUCAUUCAAGUGGAAGCUUUCACAGCUUUUGUACAUUCUCUGUGUCAAUAUACAACUGAGUUACAGACUGUCCCCUGGCUCCCUGACCCUUACAAACACUAAAAGUUUUGUUUGACUCAACUUCAAGCUGCUCAUCUGUUAGUAAGUGAUGUUCACUCCAGAACACAUUCAUGAUGAGAACUUUCUAAAAGACCAGCACUGCUCUUCCCCUCCUAUAAUCAUAAUAAUCAUGAUAACCUGAAACAUGUUACUGGGACUCGACAUUUUUCUGGGGAUUGAAAUCUUUAGUCCUUGGAGCUGUCACAUAGCAGGGGCAACCUCACACUGAAACAAAGGAAGUGAUGUCCCAUUAUUAUCCACCCUGAGCCACCAUAAUAUGCUGUUUACAUUUAUUUUCUUCAGCCUGUGCAAAACAAAGCAAUGGAAAAGGAAACUAAAAAAUAUACAUACUAGUACCAUUAUCUUCUUUUGCCUAAAAUUACUAAUGCACCACGUCAGUCUGCUUCCUUCAGGCAUCAUUCUCAAUUCAUCAGGACUUGUAUUAGCAGGUUCUGGCUAGAGAGACUAUCUCCUGUCAUCACGAUCAAUUAAUGUUUUCUGGUGAUCACAUCAGGCCCUAUCUAAGAAGCUCAUGGUAUACAAGGGUCACCCAAAUAGCUGAGUGCAGUCCUUGCUCAUAUUUCCUUCAUCUUAACCCCGC
rnacentral:lncRNA from 1 species